UGUUAUGAUGAACGCAUUUUCAAAUACAUACGCAACAAAUGGAAUUACCGGCCGAGACCUCGUGUCGCUGGCGAUAACCAAGGCUAUUGCUGAUC
rfam:Hortaea werneckii EXF-2000 unitig_19, whole genome shotgun sequence.